GUCUCUCACUCCCUCUGCCUCUCCAGCUCGCUGUCUUCAGUAGGCUCUACCCCUCUCACUCUCUUUCUGACAUCUCUUGUCUUAUUCUAGCCUCCGCUUCAUUCCUCAAGCCCCCCUCGGACAUGCUCACCGAGAAGAGUGCUGAUCCUCUGCCUCACCAUCCACGGGUUUUCUCAGGUACAAUCAAGCGCAGUUGAAAGUCAGCAGCUGAAGCAUGCCUGACAGCAUCACAUACGGAUCCAUUCAUUCAGACAAAAAUCAAAAAAAAAAAAAACGAGACACAUAAAGCUUUUUUUUUUCUGUUUCAGAGGACAGAGGAGGUGGCGGUGGAAGCUGCUCCGCGAUUUUGUCCGAAAGCGCUUUGAAACAUCUGCUGAGGAGCAAGUCAUUCAGUCAGCAUGGGCGCGCACGCGUGACACAGCGCGCCGUUCACCACUACACGUGAGUGUUUAUCCGCGCGUGCGUGAAUCGAUGAGAUACGCGCUUGAUUGGGUCUCCCUUGUUUGUAAUAAUGUACAUGAGGAGGAGGAGGCGGUGGAGGAGGAUCAGGCUGCUUCCAGGCAGCGCUCGGAUCAGCCGAGCAUCCGCGCCAAACACUUUGCUGGCUGCCGGUGCUGCUUUUCUUUUCUCUCCGUCUUUUUUUCUUCCUUUACGUAGGCAGACAUGAGCUGUUUAAAUCAGCUACGCAGCGAAUCAGACGCGUCUCCCCCAGCGGUGCGCUGCGCUCUCAAAAUGACCGAAGAGGCGCAAAACGUUCCUGACUUAAAUGAGACGGAGAAAAGUUUUUUUUUAUUAUUAUGAUUAUAGUUAUUUACAGGCAGUCUUCGGAGUAACAAUGGAUCUAAGUUUUUUGUGGAGGUUACAGAGGAACAAGGAAGGCUGAUGCAAAGCUGUAUGAAACAGCUCAUUUGGACAUAAGCUGAAAGCAACCUGGUGCUGGGGUGUGAGACACACACAGUUACAACUCACUUUUUCAACAGGCCAAACACUGCACCUCCGCACAUUAAGUAAAAGUUUUACUCCUCUACUUCCACAAAAUUCAGCCAGUCUGCCUCACGCACUCACAUUUUACGCUACAUCAACCAUCACUUUGUCUGACAGACAUAUAAAUGUAUGUCUUCAUACUCAUGCAGAGACCAACUUUCUUACAUCUCACAUCAGAUUACCUCAGAUUCACACACAUUUAAAAUGAUCCCACAUCAAUGUUAUCUUUUAGGCUGAGGGAGAAAAGGUGCUGCUGGGAGUGAGAGUGCUUGACAGGGGAUGAGAAGAAGUACACAGGAAGUACAUUAGUUAUCACUCCUCUGUCUUUUCCACCUUUUCAGUUCUCAUCACCACCUGACGUCUCAGACUCGGCACGAGCCACCAUCUCUUCCCUUGCCGACCCUGUUCUUUUCUCUUUCCAUGUCUUGCUAUCUCACACACAUGCCUUUAAAAAUGACUUUCAUGCUUCAUUUUAAUGUCGGGCCUUGAGAUGUAGGUGACACUUGGCAAACUGCGGACGCUGCAAGACAUUGGGAUUAAAAAUGUAAUGAAAUACAACAAAGUAAAAUAAAAACUGGAAAAGAAAAGAACAAAUGGAAAGCAUUUUGGUAGAUUGGAAUAUCAUUGAAUAUGGGUAAUUUAAUUCGAAAUGUGAAAUUCAAAUAUGCAAUUGUUACACACAGAGAGAUGUAUUUCAAGCUGUUCUCUCUUUUAAUUGUUAUUAUUGUAGCUGACCCCAAAUCAAGGCACAACAUUAUUUUUCUAAGAAAAGUAUUACAUAAUAAAAAAGCAUGCAUAAGCAGCAGGGACAACUACAGCUAUGAUAGCAUUAUAAAGGAAAGCACCUUCAAGAAUUUGGGGAAGAUUCACCAGGUGUGGACUGUGGCAGGAGUUGGUGCUUCAAGAACCACCUCACACAGACAUAUUCAUUUGAGUUGUAACUGUUAAAUUAAUGGUGUAAGGCCACUUCUGACCCAAAGAUAAUGUCAGAAGCGUUUUAAAUGUCACACUGUUUCCUAUCUUGCUGGCUGUAUUGGCAUAUUGAAAGACAUGUUACGUCAGUCUAAACAUCAAGAAAUAAAUAGCUUCUUGACGGACAAA